rnacentral:sRNA from 1 species
CACACAUGAGGAUUGGCUUUGCCUAAAUGUAAAGCCCCUCCGGUGCCGAAAUGUUCGGCCCAUUUCCUCAUGGCGGAUUAACCGGAGAAAGGAGAAAG